AGCCAUCGAGUGUACCAGCUACCGAUCUUAUCCUCCACGCCAUCCUGGCUUAUCUCCAAGCCAAGCCCUCAUACAAACCCCAACCCUCUCUGCCUUUUUCCCUCGAAUGCAUUUCAUCGAACACCAUGCGAUCACUCUCUCACCACCGCUAGAGAUCACCAUUGCGAGGCUCCCCGGCCGGAGCUGGAGGUUGGAGGGAGUGGAGGAAGAGCUUUGCUGCCGUCGUCGCCAUUGAGGGAGUCGAGGACCGCUGGAUGUUGGGAACCACGCAUCGAACACCUGCAAGCGUCGCCGACCGCUAGCCGCCCCUAUUUCGUCCGCACUGAGCCGCGCGCCGCCGAACUUCGUCAUCCUGCCGUCUCUCGAGCCCUUCGGCGUGCUGUCCCGGCCGUUGUUCCGUCGCCAGCGAGCUCACCGUGGACAUGCCAUCCCACAGCUCCACCUAGCCACAUUAUUAGCGAAAUCGAACACUCGGUCGCUCUAGGUGCUUCUGUACUCAUCAAUUUGGUCGGAGGCCUCACCUAUCGCUCAAGCCCCAAACCUCCCGAGCUCAGCCAUGGCGGCUAUGCCGCGCCGCUCGCCUCCGCUUCGCCACGCGCCUUGGCCGCCGGCGGGAGAUCGCCGGAGAUCCUCCGCGUCUCUGCCCGGCAGUUGCCGAGCAGCCCGCUGCCGUCCCGGCUCGGGCCGACCACACCAGCUGCGCCGAGCCGCGCCUCUGCCUCGCUCGGUAACGGGCGAGACAAAAGAAGAUGA
rnacentral:lncRNA from 1 species